rnacentral:misc_RNA from 1 species
CAGAGUUCAUGCCCUCCAUGGGUAGAUCUCCCACCCUUGCGUAUUCAUACCUUUGUUGCUUUGGCAGGCCGCUGGGCCUUGGUCCAGCCACCGGCCGCGAGGCUGGCGUGCGCCUGCCAGAGGAUCUCCAAACUCUGGUUGUUAGUGUCGUCUGAGUAUCAUGCAAUUGUUA